rnacentral:misc_RNA from 1 species
UUCUGUCCUUCAAAAGCUCAGACACAGGUCAAUUUUAUGGCAUAGGGUCGGCGCCGAAGCGCCGAGGCACGACAUCGCUUCCACAGGUUUUGUGUGGUCAAAGGGCGGGGCCCUCAUCACUAAUGAUCCCUCCGCAGGUUCACCUACGGAGA